CAAGUCAAGCCGGUUUUAAGCGGCUAUAUGGGUGCGCCGAACGCUUUUGCCACAUUUUGUCUCGUACGCCCAGGGCGACCCAACGCCGGCCAUAUAAAAGAGUUUAAUAUAAUCUUAUGAUG
rnacentral:lncRNA from 1 species